CUUUUCGUUCGUCCUUCCUUUCCUGUUCGCCUGUUCGUUUGUGCGUAUGUGUGUGCGCUCAUUCUUUCAGUGUGUGUACCAGUUGCAGUGGCGGUUCCAGGCCCUCGAGAUACCUCGUCAUUUUAGUGUCACCACAGGACGGCCACAUUCUGGUGGCCUGUACGAAGAAUUUUUCAGCCUGUGCUGGCAUAAGAAAAGCGGCAGAGGGGGAAUUUCCUGGCCUGCGCUGGCGCCCUCGAGAUACCUCGUCAUUUUAGUGUUGCCACAGGACGCUGACAUCUAAUGGCUGAAAUCUUCAACCUGCAUGCUACAGGAUCACAUACAGUACCUGGAAACAUCAAGGGAAACAGCUGCUGCCUGAAUACUCAACUGUACAAAUACUGAAUUCAAACAAAAGUUUGCACACUGCAGGAGACCGGAGGUAUUGGCUCAGAUACUUGGGUCACUGCCACCCACAUGAAAACCUGAACUGAGUUUCAAUCCUGGCAUUGGUGUGGUUCAGGUUCAGCUCAUGUAAACAUUUGGGGAAU